rnacentral:rRNA from 1 species
AUACGGAGGGUGCAAGCGUUACUCGGAAUCACUGGGCGUAAAGCGCGCGCAGGCGGCCAUUUAAGUUGGAUGUGAAAGCCUACGGCUCAACCGUAGAACUGCAUCCAAAACUAUUUGGCUAGAGUGUGGGAGAGGAAGAUGGAAUUAGUUGUGUAGGGGUAAAAUCCGUAGAGAUAACUAGGAAUACCAAAAGCGAAGGCAAUCUUCUGGAACACUACUGACGCUGAGGCGCGAAAGCGUGGGGAGCAAACGGGAUUAGAAACCCUAGUAGUCG